rnacentral:rRNA from 1 species
CCCUUAGAUGUUCUGGGCUGCACGCGCGCUACACUGAAGCGUUCAACGAGUAUUUCACCUUGCCCGGGAGGGUUGGGUAAUCUUUGAACGCUGUUCGUGAUUGGGAUAGACCUUUGCAAUUAUGGGUCUUCAACGAGGAAUUCCUAGUAAACGCAAGUCAUCAGCUUGCAUUGAUUACGUCCCUGCCCUUUGUACACACCGCCCGUCGCACCUACCGAUUGAAUGGUCCGGUGAAAUCUCGGGACGGCGGCUUGGUCGCUUGCGUCCGACUGCUGAAACUUGAUUAAACCAUAUCAUUUAGAGGAAGGUGAAGUCGUAACA